rnacentral:lncRNA from 1 species
CGAGGGCGGGAAGGCGGGGCAGCCCGUGGCGGGAUGGGCGCGCUUCUUACCUCCCUCAGAGAGUGAUACUAUUGUUUAUUCAGUUCCCCAGAAUCUAAAAGGUGUCGAUAGCUAUUCCUUGAACUUGCCAUAUUUCUUCCUGCCUCAGGGCCUUUGUACUUGCUGUUCAUUUAGCCUGAAACACUUGUCCCCAAUAUUUCAUUCAAUUCAGGUCUCUUAAAUGUCACCUUAUGACAGAGACCUUUUCAGACUACCUUAUGCAGAAUGGCCUCCUGCCCAAAUCUGCUUAAACUGCUUGAAUUUUUUUUUUUUUUUUUUUGAGACAAAGUCUUGCUUUUGUCCCCCAGGUUGGAGUGCAAUGGUGCAAUCUCACCUCACUGCAACCUCUGCCUCCCGGGUUCAAGCGAUUCUCCUGCCUCAGCCUCUUGAGUAGCUGGGAUUACAGGUGCCUGCCAUCACGCCGGGCUAAUUUUUUGUGUUUUUAGUAGAGACGGAUUUCACCAUGUUGGCCAGGCUGGUUUCAAACUCCUGACCUCAGGUGAUCCGCCCGCCUCGGCCUCCCAAAGUGCUGGGAUUACAGGCGUGAGCCACCGCGCCCGGCCUUAACCUGCUUGAUUUUUUUCAGAGUGGAUAUCAACUACCCAACAUUAUGCAUUUAUUUUCUGUUGUCUUGCCUCCCUCAUUAGAAAAUCAGCUUCAUGAGAACAGGAAAUUUCUCUCUUGUUCACUACUGUAUCUUCAGCCCCUAGAUUUUUUUUUU